AGUAAGUCGUGAGGAAACAGACAAGGCUGCAACCCAGCAGCAGUUGAGCACCUUGUCAAAGUGUGGGAAUGAGCGUGUGUGGGUCUCUGUGCCUCCAGCCUUUUCUGCACCAGCUGUUCCAAGCGGAGCAGAGGGGUCUGUCUUGCUUCUCCGUAACUUCAUCAACCUACAAAAAGCCUUGGCAUCCACGGGAGGAAGAAGUGUUCAGGCAGCAUGUGACUGGUUAUUCUCCCAUGUCGGUGACCCCUUCCUGGAUGACCCCCUGCCCCGGGAGUACGUCCUCUACCUCCGUCCCACCGGCCCCUUAGCACAGAAGCUUUCCGACUUUUGGCAGCAGUCGAAGCAGAUCUGCGGGAAGAACAAGGCACACAACAUCUUCCCCCACAUCACACUCUGCCAGUUCUUUAUGUGCGAGGACAGCAAGGUGGAUGCCCUGGGGGAAGCCCUGCAGACCACGGUCAGUCGCUGGAAAUGUAAGUUCUCGGCCCCGCUGCCCCUGGAGCUCUAUACGUCGUCCAACUUCAUCGGCCUCUUCGUAAAGGAAGACAGUGCGGAGGUCCUCAAGAAGUUUGCUGCUGACUUUGCUGCAGAGGCUGCAUCCAAAACCGAAGUGCAUGUGGAACCUCAUAAGAAGCAGCUACAUGUGACCCUGGCUUACCACUUCCAAGCCAGCCACCUACCCACCCUAGAGAAACUGGCCCAGAACAUUGACGUCAAGCUAGGGUGUGACUGGGUGGCUACCAUAUUUUCUCGGGAUAUCCGAUUUGCUAACCAUGAGACAUUACAGGUCAUCUACCCCUAUACCCCACAAAAUGACGAUGAGCUAGAGCUGGUCCCCGGGGACUUCAUCUUCAUGUCUCCAAUGGAGCAGACCAGCACCAGCGAGGGUUGGAUCUAUGGCACGUCCUUAACCACCGGCUGCUCUGGACUCCUGCCUGAGAAUUACAUUACCAAGGCUGAUGAAUGCAGCACCUGGAUAUUUCAUGG
rnacentral:sRNA from 1 species